GUUUUCGGAUAAUCGCGGCUUGAGUAAAUCAAGCUGAGGAAAGUCCAUGCUCACACAGGCUGAAAUGCCUGUAGUGUUCGUGCUCAGCGAAAAAAUAAGCUGAGGUAUCUCAUUAAAGAGAUAACGGCAGGAAAAACGGCUAAGGUGUAGGCUAGUCUACACUAAGCCCGAGUAUCCUUGAAAGUGCCACAGUGACGAAGCAAUAGGAGAAAUCUUAUUGUUGGAACGCGGUAAACCCCUCGAGUGAGCAACCCAAACAAAAAGGUAGGGGCACUUUUUGCCGCGAAAUAAAACGCGAGCAAGAAGACAAUAUUAUUGUAGAUAGAUGAUUAUCUAAGUUAUUUUGCUCCCUGUAAAAUAACUGGACAAAACAUGGCUUAUAGAA
rnacentral:RNase_P_RNA from 1 species